rnacentral:tRNA from 1 species
GGGUGCGAGCAUGUUAAUGUAUUUAACCUUGCAAAGGUUAAAUUGAGUUUAGAGACUCCGUAUCUU